GAUGAACGCUGGCGGCGUGCCUAAUACAUGCAAGUCGAGCGAACGGACGAGAAGCUUGCUUCUCUGAUGUUAGCGGCGGACGGGUGAGUAACACGUGGAUAACCUACCUAUAAGACUGGGAUAACUUCGGGAAACCGGAGCUAAUACCGGAUGAUAUUUUGAACCGCAUGGUUCAAAAGUGAAAGACGGUCUUGCUGUCACUUAUAGAUGGAUCCGCGCUGCAUUAGCUAGUUGGUAAGGUAACGGCUUACCAAGGCAACGAUGCAUAGCCGACCUGAGAGGGUGAUCGGCCACACUGGAACUGAGACACGGUCCAGACUCCUACGGGAGGCAGCAGUAGGGAAUCUUCCGCAAUGGGCGAAAGCCUGACGGAGCGACGCCGAGUGAGUGAUGAAGGUCUUCGGAUCGUAAAACUCUGUUAUUAGGGAAGAACAUAUGUGUAAGUAACUGUGCACAUCUUGACGGUACCUAAUCAGAAAGCCACGGCUAACUACGUG
rnacentral:rRNA from 1 species